UAUUAUUAUUUAAAUUAAAAGUUAUUUUUGUUUAGGUUUUCCGCUGUAAAAUUAUUUUGAGGUACAUGGUUUUAGCAAUUAUUUUCUUUUUCUAUUUUGUUUUUCUUCAUUCAGUUCUUCAUUCAUUCGCACAAAAAGUGAACGCAACACAUUUAUUUUUAAUUUCAAAAAAAGUGGACUAAAAUUGGAAGGAAGGAUAUUUUUUCUGUCCACGCAAAACACCUGAGGAAAAUUUGGAGAACAAACAAAAUUAUUAUGAUUCUUGAUUUUUUUUUUACGAGAGACGAGGAAUUUUUCUUGGAGAUUUAGAAACGAAUAGCAAAAUUUGGAUAGCCCACCCUUGUCACAUGCUCGAUAUUUGUAAAUUCGCAAUGAUGAAUUUGACUUCCUGGACUUCCCUCAGUCGACAACCACUGCGUCCUGAAACAAUAUUCUUAUCUGAUUUCUUGGCCUGAAAAUCGUGAGAAAAGCACAAAAGCUGAAAAAGAAAAAAGAAAAUUCAAGGACAAAAGUCUUGUCGUCGGAUGAUAUCGAGACCCAAAUGUUCGCCUGACAUCGAAAAGCUUUAUAUUGUGAGUUGCUUUGCGGAUGUUUGCCCUGCGGCCAAUUUGGCCCAACGAAACUGUCACUCAACAAUGACAUCGUUCAUCAAUUUUGCAAGUAUA